GAUGAACGCCGGCGGUGUGCCUAAUACAUGCAAGUCGUACGCACUGGCCCAACUGAUUGAUGGUGCUUGCACCUGAUUGACGAUGGAUCACCAGUGAGUGGCGGACGGGUGAGUAACACGUAGGUAACCUCGCCCGGAGCGGGGAUAACAUUUAGGAAACAGAUGCUAAUACCGCAUAAACAAACAAAAGCCACAUGGUCUUUUGUUUAGAAAGAUGGUCUUUGGCUAUCACUCGUGGGAUGGACCUGCGGUGCAUUAGCUAGUUGGUAAGGUAACGGCUU
rnacentral:rRNA from 1 species